UAGAGUUUGAUCAUGGCUCAGGACGAACGCUGGCGGCGUGCUUAACACAUGCAAGUCGAACGCUGAAGCUGGGUGCUUGCACCUGGUGGAUGAGUGGCGAACGGGUGAGUAACACGUGAGCAACCUGCCCCUGUCUCUGGGAUAAGCGCUGGAAACGGCGUCUAAUACUGGAUACGCACCAUCCUCGCAUGGGGAGUGGUGGGAAAGAUUUAUCGGAUGGGGAUGGGCUCGCGGCCUAUCAGCUGGAUGGUGGGGUAAUGGCCCACCAUGGCGACGACGGGUAGCCGGCCUGAGAGGGUGACCGGCCACACUGGGACUGAGACACGGCCCAGACUCCUACGGGAGGCAGCAGUGGGGAAUAUUGCACAAUGGGCGCAAGCCUGAUGCAGCAACGCCGCGUGCAGGAUGAAGGCCUUCGGGUUGUAAACUGCUUUUGUACGGAACGAAAAGGCUCUGGCUAAUACCUGGGGCUCAUGACGGUACUAUUAGAAUAAGCACCGGCUAACUCCGUGCCAGCAGCCGCGGUAAU
rnacentral:rRNA from 1 species